rnacentral:rRNA from 1 species
UACGUAGGGGGCAAGCGUUGUCCGGAUUUAUUGGGCGUAAAGAGCGUGUAGGCGGUUUGGUAGGUCCGUUGUGAAAACUCGAGGCUCAACCUCGAGACGCCGAUGGAAACCAUCAGACUAGAGUCCGGAAGAGGAGAGUGGAAUUCCUGGUGUAGCGGUGAAAUGCGCAGAUAUCAGGAAGAACACCCGUGGCUAAGGCGGCUCUCUAGUACGGUACUAACGCUGAGACGCGAAAGCGUGGGGAGCGAACAGG